GGGAGUGGCAAAUUGAAACGGUAGAAAAAUGUUAGGAAACAUUACAACCAAAUAUAAGUUUUUCUAUUCUUCUGUUACUAAUGAUAAUGACAUAAUUCGUUUUUUAUUUUCAAGAUUAUCUGUACGACUGGCAGCCGAUACGAUCGAACAAACAAUGCGUUGCAUACAAGGGGCUACAUAAUUAUUGGAAAAAAUCAUUUCAUUAAUUGUAUUACCCAUUGUUGACCAUUCCAUUCCAUCGUCCGUUCCUAAAAAUGUCCAAAUAUUUUUAUGAUUAAAAGAAAUUCUUUUUUUUUAUCAUUGGUAUAUUAGAUAACAAAGAUCAACGAACGAUAAUGCGAGUGAGAUUGCAAUGGCGGUGCCAUAGGUUUUGAAAAUAAUGGUACAACUAAGGAAGAAAUUCCAGUUAUUAUUCCAGCAAUUGUUAACGCUUUUGUAUUAACAUUGAGUAACUUCGGCGAUUUUUCGUUCUCUCCAUCAAUUUUUUGUUGUAAUGGAAUAGAAAUAAAAGCUAACUUACAUCGAUAUUUGCUUCUUCAGCAUCGAACGAUAUAAAGCUAGGUUUCGAAUGACCAACAAAUGGAUUCUUCAUUUUGGAAAUUUUUCCUUUACCGGAACCAGCCGAUAUAUAAUCGGCUAUUGUUAAUUGUAUGAUAAGGAAUACGAGUACGAUUGUU